GCGCGGCGGGGGUUGAUGGCCGACGGGGGCCUGUCGGAGACGUGCCCCGCGCGGCAGGGCGCAGGGGGCCCGAGAGGCCUUGCUGCUUUCUCUGACUGGUGGGGGCCUCGAGAAAGUCGCCUCGUAUUUCCGCUCAUCUCUUCUUUUUCAUUUUAAAAAAUGGGUCGACUGUCACUGUUUAUCCGGCUCUAAAAGUGAGGCGAUUUCUGAGUCAUGGUGGGAAUGAGUGCUCCCCGUGGCGAGGUGGCCUCCCGGUGGGCAGAGGUGGCUGCAUCCGCAGCCCUGGGCCUUGGUCGCCUGACGCCUGCAGUGGGUUGCAGCGCCGGUGCGUCAUCGUAUCUCACACGGGACCGCUGUAUUGUAGCCUUCAUUUUCCACGCACCCCAAGUUAAGGGGGAGGGUAACUGGGUUUGGAGUUUUCUAGAAACACGUAGACCUGGUGGCAGGGUCUCCCUGGAGACCUAAUGCAGCAGAACGCAGUCUGGGUGAAGUGCCUCCAUGUGGGCAUCUUAUAAAACGUGGGUUUCUUUUUUCUCUAGGGAGCUUGCCUGCUGGAAACCAAGGGCCUGGAAGGGCAUGCUGGGGUCCCUGGUCUUGGCUGCCUCAAGUCACGAGGUGGGCUUGCCUUUGACAGCAGGAGGCAGGAGCAGACUACCGGCGCAGUGAUGAGUGGAAAAGGAGGGAAGGUGACAGCCUGGGAACAUCAGCUCACAGGGUGAAUACUGGCCAGAACGACUGACCGUCGUGGUCCCUACCAAGAUCCAGAGGCCCAGGAACGGUGGGGCCCAGCUGUGUGCUGUGAGGGUGGCCAGUGGAACAGACCUACAGAUGGACGCCAGGCCUCUCUUCAGGACAGGAGUGGCCUGACGCGGUGGUUCGGGCAGGAUUUCUCUGGGGGCUGCAGCAUCUGAAGGCUUGACCGGGGCAGGAAGAGCCGCUUCCAAGAUGGCGUGCUCUGGCUGUGGGCAGGAGGCCGAGGGUCCUCACGACGUGGCAGCUGGCUUCCCCCAGCGUGGGCAUAAGCCAGCCUGGGAAGGGACGUCAUCACUCACGCCGGGUCCUGUGGUCACUGGCCAGCCCUGAUGCGGCGUGGGAGAAACCUUUCUGCUCUGCUGUCCUGAGGUCAGGAGGCUUGACCAGGAGGGAGAGCUGUGAUCCAGCACCAGAGGCGCUGCCGGUGGGUCAUCUCAAGUGGCCGGUUUUCUGUCUCCAUACAGGUGGGCAACCUGCUGGAUCAGCCACGGACAUUCCUCGGUCCUCCAGGAGGGCACCAGAGAGCAGAGAGGAUGCAGCUUGUAAAUGCUGGGGCCCUGGCACUCUGCUGCGGGGGCACGUCGGAGAGAAGUGGGAAAAUCACGGCCUUGAGAAGUGUCCUCCGAGGAGAAAGAAUCCGUAGGCUUAUGAAAUAAUUUUGUGUGGAAUGUUGGUGUGCUGUGAGAGGGAUUUGCAGAAAGAAGUGUUAGCAGAGACAGUUGGGAAUCCAAAAAACAAGGGAAACUAAAAGCGACAGCAGCAUGGUGAAGAGGACAAGAUGUGCUGGGGCCCAGGGCUCUGCUUUCCAUGAACGUGGUUGUUUUCGGAAGGCGCCCAAAGGCAGCUGUGGACUCAGCUCUGCUUUUGGAGGGAGACGAGUGGCUGACAGCAGUGUUCCUGCAGAGCAGCUCCCAGGGACAAGGAACAGCGUGCGGCUACCCUGCAUGUGCACCAUCUGUCGUAGGCGGAGGGCGAGGGGGCUCUUAGCUGCAGGGUUGCCCAGCACCCUUCAUCUCAAUGCCCUGAUUCUUAAAUCCUCCUGCCAUCACGGCAUCCUGGGAUGUGUGAUCUUUUGGCGCACACAGUUUUUGAACUGCCCUGAGCCCAUGGUCCUAAACUGUUUUUUAUUGUGCUUGGAUUAUCUUCCCCCCAAAAGGGGGAAAAAAUCUAGAUGGAAAAAGAUUUUAGUGCUAAGAAUAUGGAUAUUAUAGUUGAAAUUUUGGAACAUUUUAAGCAAAAGGUGUUAAAAUGAAUUCAAGGAUUUGUUUAAUGCCUUUUUCUUCAAGGAAAGAGUUGGCAACAGGAGAAUAAAUUGAUCUUGAAUAAAUUGUA